GGUCAAGAUGAUCACUGAAUUGUAUAUGACUUUAUGAGAAACGGCUCAAUAAAGCAUUUCAAUUUGCUUGUCUGGGAGUGUUUGACCAGAGGGUACAAAGGGAGCAUGCUCAGAUUUAACCUGGCCGGCUCUAAGGACCUUAAGAUGCUGCCAGAGGUGCUGAGUUUUUCCAGCAAUUUCUGGAAACAUUUUGGUGACUACGCCCUCACUAAUAGCUAGGUGGACUGCUGUGAAAUAUUUAAUUUUUGUCU